rnacentral:rRNA from 1 species
UACGUAGGGGGCUAGCGUUGUCCGGAAUCAUUGGGCGUAAAGCGCGUGUAGGCGGCUUCGUAAGUCCGUUGUGAAAGUCCAGGGCUCAACCCUGGAAUGCCGAUGGAUACUGCGGAGCUAGAGUCCGGAAGAGGCGAGUGGAAUUCCUGGUGUAGCGGUGAAAUGCGCAGAUAUCAGGAGGAACACCAAUGGCGAAGGCAGCUCGCUGGGACGGUACUGACGCUGAGACGCGAAAGCGUGGGGAGCAAACAGG